rnacentral:rRNA from 1 species
AGCUCCAAUAGCAUAUGCUAAAGUUGUUGCAGUUAAAAGGCUCGUAGUCGAACUUAUGGCCCCAGUGAACCCUUCCCGCCUUCUAGUAGGGCGCGCGUCGGUGUGCACGGGUCAUUAUUCUGAAGAGCAAGUCUGCCCUUGAUUGGGUUGGGUUUGUAAUUCAGAUCAAUUACUGUGAGUAAAUCAAAGUGUUCAAAGCAGGCAGCAAUGCCUGAAUGGUUCAGCAUGGAAUAAUAGGAUAAGACUUCGGUUUUAUUUUGUUGGCUAUAGAACCUAAGUAAUGAUUGAAAGGGAUAGUUGGGGGUGCUAGUAUUCAGUGGUCAGCGGUGAAAUGCGAGGACCCAUUGAAGACUAACUUAUGCGAAAGCAUUCACCAAGGAUAUCUUCAUUG